UACAGAGGGCUCAAGCGUUGUUCGGAUUCAUUGGGCGUAAAGGGUGCGUAGGCGGCGCGGUAAGUCGGGUGUGAAAUCUUGGAGCUUAACUCCGAAACUGCAUUCGAUACUGCCGUGCUUGAGGACUGGAGAGGAGACCGGAAUUUACGGUGUAGCGGUGAAAUGCGUAGAUAUCGUAAGGAAGACCAGUGGCGAAGGCGGGUCUCUGGACAGUUCCUGACGCUGAGGCACGAAGGUCAGGGGAGCAAACGGG
rnacentral:rRNA from 1 species